GGCGGGGAGGCGGAGGCGGGGUGGCGCAGGAAGCCGGAGCAGAAGGAGGGGGGAGAAGCGCGGGGGGCGCCGCGGCGAGUGCGCGUGGAGGCGGCACUUCGCGAAGUGGCUCUGCAGGGCGGCGGGUCGGGCCGGGGCUAGCGCUGCGGGGAGUUAGUGUCCGGGCGGGGAAGGGAGGGUUGCGGAGUGGAAGGAUCGAGGCUCUCGGACGCCGGGCGACAUUGGCCGGCUUUGGUGGCAAGAGCCGAGGGCUCGGCGCGGGAGCAGCCGGUGCGACCUCGCACCGUCUCAGGUGAGUCCGCCAGGCAGGCGGCGACCCCCCGCCAGCCCUCUGGGAUGGAGGACGUGGGGGAGUAGACCCUGUAGAGAGCCGGGCCCUGGACGCCGGAGGCGGAAGACUUGGGGAGCACUCUAAGAGAGGAUCCGGAGGCAGGACCGUGUGGCGGCGUGGACUCUGCGCAAGGACCCUGCAGCUAGUGGGUGGUGCUUGAGCUGGGAUCCUGGAGAGGAGAGGACUCUGGGGGAGAAGGGUUUGAGGAAGAGGACCCUGGGGCAGGAAGGACCCUGGGGAGGAGGAUCUGGAGAGAAGCAAAUGGGGUCUGGGGAGAGGAUCCUGCCAGAAGGACUGGGAGAGGGAUUUGGGGGACCCGGAGGGAGGGAGAGGACCCUCAUGAGGUCAGUGUGCUUGUGGAGGGAGAGCCUCUAAGGAAAGAAGAGUCUAGGGAGGUAGGAGAAGAGAGCCCUGGAGGUCCCUGUGGGAUGGCAGACGCUGGGGAGGGGACUUUGCAGAGGGAGGGUUGAGUUGGAGUUGCCUCUGUGUUUAAGGAGGGUCUCCUCAGGGAGCUGACCAAGGUGGCAAACUGGGUUCCCAGGACAGUCCUCUUGGGGAAAUAUUUACAUAAAUUAGACUAACAUAGAGGAAUUAUUUGCUUUACUUCAUAAACCAGCAGAUCUGAGUGUUUCCCUUUAAUUAAACCUGACAUUCUCCUCGGCAUCCCAUCCUUGGAAAAUCACUCACUCAUUCAUUCCUUUGACAAGUACAAGCACCCAGGAGACAGAUAGGCAAGACAUGCCAGACCCCCGGGCAGAUGGCCAGGGCCUGGCCAGGCCUGAACACACAGCACUGCUCUGCAUGGGUGAGAAGAGAGGCAGCAAGUGCGGGAUUCAGCCCUGUGCCCCUCCUCUGUCUUAGCCUCCUGCCUGCACCUGGCCAGUGUUUUAGGCAGAUCCUGGGUAUUUAGUUUCUGGGAUUCUUUUGGUUGGGAUAACAGAAAACCAGCCCAGACUGGCCCUAACAAAUCAGGCUUGAGUCAGUGGCAUCCUUCUGGCCCCUUACUCCCUUUCCCCUGGAACAGUGCAUGCUCCACCCCACCCACCUUACACUGCCCUAGGACUGACCAGGUAGGCUGGGGGCUGAAGCAAACCUGGUUGGCCUGAAGGAGAGUUGAGUGCUGGGACCAGGGUGACAGAUGGAGGUGGGCAAGAGAACACAGUAGAGGGAGGGUUUUUCCCCUGGACUUGCUCCCAUCAGCCACGAGACAGGAGAGGGACCAACUCAGAGUCCAGCCUGCUUUCCAGGUAGGCCAGCAGCUCAGUGAUUUCAUUCCCUGGGCCUGGCAGCUGGAACAGAAGAGACUGCUCCUGCAGGUGCAAAUGGUGGGAGACUUAGCACCAAGGAAGUGUGUGUGGCUGUCUGCAGGUACAGAGCCAACCAAGCACAGCCAGGUCCUCGUACCUGGGAAUGGAAGACAAGGACACCUAUCAUGCCCUCCCUGGCACCUGUGCUCUACCACCAGCCUCCAGGGAGGUCUGCACCGAGAAUGUGCCUCUGUCUGUGGAAGGAGGUCCUGGCCCCAGGCUGGACUUUGCCCGUGUCCCCUGAGGCUUUUCUGGCUUGUCCAGAAGCCCCUUUACAUGGUGCAGGUGUCUGAGUGGGGGCCAAGUGCCAAGAGUAAGAACUCCAGUCUGAGAGUGGACAGGCUGGCCGUUGGGCUGGGUAUGCAAGAGCAGCCUGUUGGCAGCUCAAGACGGUGCUAGGAGGCACUCUUGCCAGGACACCUUUCUGUUUUGGAGACAUUCAAAGCCCUUUACAAAUCCCCCUCGUUCCUUCUCCCUGUGACUCUGAGAAUAUAUUUGGGCAGCUGUGAAAUCUGAUUACUUUCCUGAAGGUUUGGCCAUGUGGCUGGAAAGUAUGGCCUGGACUUGGGAUCACACCCAGCCUCUCCACAGCAGGCAAGAGGAAGCAGGUGUGAAGGUGGAGAAACCUCACCUUUUGAAACCUGGAAGGAAUAGCAAAAGUGACAUUACCAGCUGGCCAAGGCCAUCCUAACCUCCAGACCUGCUGUCUUCAGCUCAGACCAGGGGUGGGGUGUCGCGAGUCUCACAAAUCCAGGUUCUGAGGUGGGGGUUGGGAGGAGGUUUCUGUAAAUGAACAGCUCCAGGAGAAACACUGAGAGAGGAGGCAGGUGGUUUCCUCAUGCUGCAAGUUUUCCUUCUCACUUGCGAUUGUCCACCCUCACCCGGACACAUGUGGGACCGGGGAGGACCGUAGCUGUGGAGGUCCCCAGCAUUCCGGCUCCGGACUGGAGCACCUGGUGCUUGUGCACACAAGCUGGCACAGAGGCAAGAGUGACUUCAGAUCAAGAAUCUGGCUCCUCUGAGCUGCCAGUGCUGACCCCAGGUCAGCCAGCACCGGGAUGGGCAGCUCGGGAGGAAAGGGCUGGAAGCGGGAGCAUAAGUGUGCCCGCCUUCAUCAGCUUAUUUUUAGUUACGUUAUGUAAGCAGCUUCAUCGCAACGUCACAUGGGGGGGGUCUCAGAUUUAAUUACAGGAUGACAGCCUUUGCUUCUCAAGCAAGCUGUUCUACUGGCAAGGCAAGAGCGGGGUUUGUGAGUUUCUGCUAAACAGAAGGAGCCUUUCUGAGGUGUCCACCCCGCAGAGCUUGCGCUGUCUUCACCUCCGUCACCAUCUUCCUGACCUGCCUGACCCAGCUUUGCCCGAGCCUUGCCUGAAUUAAAGCUCUUAUAAUCAGUAACCAGAAAGUUCCAGAGCAGGAGACCUAGGAAGGUGCUGGAGCCCCGUCAGGCAGCUUCCUUUCUCCUCCCCCUUCCAUCCUUACCCCCUGCUUCUCCCUGCCACCACAGGUGCUGCGAGCCACUGAACCUGGGCCCGGGUCACUUGGUAAAACUGCCCACAAUGUGUCCAGAGUGCGGUUCUCCCACUUCCUGGAUGGGGUGGUCGGCCCUGCGUUCUUCCCCAUGUCAUCAGCAGGAAAGCACUACAGCCAGAGUCCUGUCCCUGCAGGCAGGAGACCACUAUGGCUCUGCCUAGAGUGAGCUUUGAUGCUGACAAGCCCGGUGUGGGCUUGGGGAGGGCUCUGCUCCUGGGCAGGCUCUGCAGCCUCUGGGAGGCCCCUGGGAGCGGAGGAUGCAGUGUGGCUGGCAGACAAGGUGGAGGCAUAAAGCAGAGUGAAGAGCUCCAGGAACCGCCCCAGCACGUGGCCGGCCCUCAGUGAGUCUUAGAAAUUGUUGGGAUGGUUAUUGAUUAGACAGGACAUCUCUAAAGAGGGUCCAUGUGCUACCUACAAAGUCACUCUGGAGGCUGAUCCCCAGGGACCGGGCUGACCCUGCCCCUUCUGCUGGCUGCAUGCAGCGACUCCCUUCUUGAGAGCACAGUGUGGAGAAGCUGACCUGCCCCAGGCAGGUGACCAUGCAGCACCACCAGUGGGGGCCACAUGGGCAGCAUGGACCCCUGAUGGAAUUUGCCGAGAAGCGCACCCCACCUCGGUGACCUCCUGAAAACCCAUAAUCCCCCUCUUGUGAGAGAGACAUUGGGCGAACCUCAGCAGGGCACAGUCUAUGAAUCACCUAGACAACGUGCCCCCAAACUGCCAAGGUCUUAACACCAAGAAAGUCAGAGCAACUGUCUCAGCCAAGAGGAGCCCAAGGAAAUGAGAGGAAUCACUGUCCUGUGGGAUCCUGGGACAGAAAGAGGACUUCAGGGGACACUGAAGGGCACACAGCAUGGACUGUAGUUAAGGCAGCAACGCUGGCCCCUUAACAACAAAUGCAACGGCAAUAACACGUCAACACGGGAGACUGGUGUCGGAAAUUCCUGUGUAAACUACAACCGCUCUGGAAUUCAGCUUAUUAUGGGGGUGGGCAGUGAUCCUGGCAUAAGCCUCCACUUGGGCUUAAUGGGGGUCUGGAGGUACUUGUGCCUUACCCUGAUCUGGUCCUUGCCCUGGGUCCCCUCUGUCCACUAUGGGGUCACCGAUGGAGCACUUGUCUCAGUCACCAGGUGCUGCUGGUCACAGAGAGCACCUGGGACCCAGGGGCAGGUGUGUGGGCCUGGCCUGCGGCUGCACUGGCCCAGUGUGCCAUGAGACCACCCAGCCGUCGCCAGUCGUGGCCCUCACCAGCCUCCCCAGGCUGCCUCAGAUCCAUGUGCCCUCAACCUGGCGUAGUUAAGAGGCUAUCUUCUGGGCCAUGUUUCCAGGCCCCAGCGUCAUCCUGCGUCUGCCAGCUCGGUCACCCACUUGCUUAUUAGAAUACAUCAACGACAAUGCAGAUUUAAAUAGCUGGGGCAGGUGACAGUCCUCCCGGGUACCCCAUACCUGGCCCAGGUGAGGCAGGGAGGGCCGGAGUCAGAGGUAGUAGGCAGUGGGCAAUGCUGGCCACUCAUCUAGAGCCAGGGAGGUGGGAUCGGGCAGCCGUGAGCUGGUGUGCAGGAAGACACAGCCUGUGUUACAGGUGAGGACUCCCAGUGCCACAGGCAGGACACCCACAUUCCUCACCUGGGCCCUCCCUGGGCACUGGGGGUUUGGGUGACCACCCUGCUCUCUGCUUCUCAUCAGUACAGUUACUUUUCACUCAGCCCCGAGGGUGUUUUCUUAUCGUUCAGCCUCUUACAUGACGGGAUGCCUGAGAGGGAGCUGAAAGGUGUUUUUGGAUGGGCCUGGAGGGAUCUGACAUUAGAGGACACCUGGGAAGCGAGAGCUGAGCCUGUUCCUGCAAGUCCUCUCAGGCGGGAGGUGGCACAGCCCGACCUGCAGGGAGCACGUCUCAGGCUGCCAGGGAGAAGCCCGCGUCUCCCAGCCGCACCGCAGAUGGCUUCCCCGCCCGGCUUGGCUGCUUCUAAUUUCAGCUGCUAGAGGCUCUACUCUCUCUCUUUUUUAUUCCGUGUUUAUUUAAAGCCAGAUUUUGAAAUGUCGACUUCAGCCCUGAAAUCUGACUUUUUCUUCUUGCCACAGGUCCUUAGACCCCACUCGGGAUGCAGACGGAAGGGCAAGGUGUGAAGGCAGAGAGCCCCACUGUUCACGCUGUAUGGCAGACACCGGGAGGGUCAGCCCACCUGUCCCUGUGAGACAGCCGGUCAUCAGACCCCACUUGGGAUACAGACAGAAGGGCAAGUGUGACAUUUCACCCCCCAGGCCAACCAGAUGUCUGCCCCACUGUCCAUGCUGUGUGACAGACACCAGGAAGGUCAGCCAUGUGUCCCCGUGAGAACACAGGCACCUGGAGGAAGCACUUCCUGCCUCAGUACCAGCUGUUGAACUUGAGAAGGUUCUUGGGCCUCUCUUAGGUGGUCCAGGCAUGCCACCCAGAGGUGGGACAGAGGCCAGGUCAGGGGAGGCAGCGAUACAUGCUGGGAGGCAGCGUUACAUGCUGGGUGCUUGCACACCCCUGCCCCUGGCUCUUCCUUCACCUUACCCGAGAGCCAUGUGCUGUUUCUUCUCUAUUUGGGACUGACCAGAAGGGACCUUCCACCUGGUAGUGUGGUGCUGAGGCCCUGGCCUGUCCUCUGAGUGUUUAUUUGUAUGGUGUCAGACCACGGGGCAGCUGGCGCCCUCUGUCCCAUGACAAUGUUGGGGGAGCACGCCAAGACACAGGGUCCCUUUCCUUUGAGAUAUAACUUCCCUUAGGCCCUGGCCAGCUCACCUGGAACAUGCUCUUUCUGAUAGAAGGGGCAUCUUGGAGAACUGGACAGGGUGACGGGGCCAGGCAGGGAGCAAGAGAGGGGUAGGUGCCUGCAGGAAAAAGGGGCCUGUUUGCCCAACUAGAGGCUCCUGGAGCCCCUGGUCAGAGGCUGGGAAAUGAGGGGAUUGCAGGAUCUGAGAUGGAGCUGUGUCACCCCAGGCCCAAGCCAUAACACAGCCAGACCUCAGGCCAUAGGCCUGCCCCAGAGCAGGUGGGAGCAGCCAGGAGCAGCUGGCCCAAGGCUGGAUGGACAUGGCGAUGCCAACCAAACCAGUCUCCAGCCGAAUUAGCACCAGAGGGAAUGAGGGAUGGGUCUGAUGAGAGCCAAGCCCUUUCUACAGAGCACUGCAGACUAUGACCAGAGCCUUCCUGUCCUGGAGACACAGGGCAUGUGCCAUGGUGGCUUCACUGUACACUUGGCCAGAAAGCACAAUUUUGAGAAAAAUUAUUUGAUUGUUAGGCUUGAGAUUAUCGUUUCAUCUGGCAAGUUCCUUUCUUCUUUCCCUUCUCACAAAGUUGGAAGACACAAAAGUCUUAUAGAAGCUCAUGGAAAACUCUAGCUGUCUCCCAGCUGUCCAGAUGAAAAGAAUGUUCCGGCUCGGCGCCUGUGGUUCAAGCUGCUAAGGCACCAGCCACAUAUACCUGAGCUGGCGGGUUUGAAUCCAGCCUGGGCCUGCCAAACAACCAUGAUGGCUGCAACCAAAAAAAAAAAAAAAAGUAAAGAAUGUUCCACUGUGGGAGGAAGAAAUAAUACUCUAUACAGAUUCUGGUGACAUUUCACCCCCAGGCCAACCAGACAUUGUUCCACUGCCCUCCAGAAUGAGGGUUGUGCAAAGUGAGGUUUGGCGGCUUGGUCCCUGGAAUCCGCUGUUCAUUCUCACCCAGAUUUUGAGAUUUCUCUGCAGCUGCAGGAGCCAGCAAAGUCCUUUGUGCAGCCUCUGGGCAUGGUGUUCAGAGGUUGGAUUCAGCUGCAAUUGUCCUUCAUUCUCUGGCCUAUAGAGGUCCCAGGGGAAAAGCUCAGUGCCCAGGACUGUUGGUGGGGGCGGUUGUGCAGUGUGGUGCGUGUCAAUGCUGCUUUCAGGGAAGUCGAGUUGGUGAUUUCCAAGUGGCUUUGAGCAGGGCAGGGUCCCAGAAAGGUGUUACUUGCUUUAGGAAAGUCCUGUGGCUGCAAGUGACUUGCCCUCACGCUUGGGCUUGUUUUCUGUGAUGCACUUUGCUCUGCAGGGAAGUGGCCCGCAGCAGAGUGGUCCCCCACCUGACAUGCCAGGGAGGGCCAGGUGACCUUCACUGCCACCUGGUGGACAGCCUGGACAAUGGCGGCUGGUGUAGGUCCGUGUCACAGAGCUUCAUGGAAGCCCAGGGUGGACAGGCCACAGGGAGCAGUCACAGUGGUGUGAAGUGGCAUCUUUGAGGUCUGGAUCUGCGCCUUCAUGGUGACUAGCAGUGGAGGCUCCUUCCCAUGAUUCCCGUCUGCAGAGGGCUCAGGACUCUUUCCAGGGUCCUGCUGUCUCGGCUUCACCUCCACCACAGAAGUGGGUCUCCCUCGGAGGUUUUUGGAUAAAACCGAGGCUCCCCCAGCUACACAGGGCACCUUCCCCCCAGGCAGACCUUCAGAGGUGGCAAGAAUAGCUACACUGACAUCCACGAGGGAACUGCUCUUGACUGCCUUCAAGACUGAAGGGCUCUGAGCUGUUGCCGCCAGGCUGUUGUUAGAGAGCUGUUGUCCCUCGCCUGCCCGGAUGCCCUGAAUGCCACCUGUACACCGUGUGGGCCCCUGACUGGCUGAGGGGCUGUGGCCAGCACACUCCCACUGAGCCAUCACCCACAGGACAGGUGGGGCACUAGGAGGGAAACAGAGGCCCAGGACACACAGGGCUUUCCCAAGGCCACAAGGCCAUGCCAGGGGAAGCUGGGAUACUUCCCUGGUAGGAGGCAGCUGCGCUCACUAUGCCUGGCAGUUGGGGGCCUGAGAGACCCCAGCAUAAAUGGGAUUUGUUGACAUGUCAGUAGGUGGUUGGGUCUCCAGGCAGGCUGGAGAGAACUUGAGAAUACUGAAAAGGGCCUCCAGAGCCUGCCCGGCCCAGGCCCAGCAAGUUCCACCUGACAGCAGGCCCCACACUGGCCCCACACAUGGCCACACUGACCUUCCAGUGACAACCAUCACUGCCACCCCACACUGUGGCUCUCCCAGCUCCAGCCAACUCUCAGGAAAAGGCAGCCCAGGCCUUGGAGGGACAUCAGGUCCUUCCCUCCUCCAGUGGCGUCCCCACUAAACCCCCACUCUACGGACAUCUGCUGACGACCGUCUGUCCCCCCACCCCCUUGGGGAUAAGCCUGUGAGCCUGCCCUGUGCUUGGGCUCCUAGGGACCCUGCACCCCUCCCUGACCCCGUGGCUGCACCUGGGCUGACUCAGAUGGCUCCCAAGCUUACCCUUCUGUCCAGACCUCUUUGCCAAGCUCCAGAUCUGUGGCUCUAACUGCUCAUGACAGGCCUGACGCAGCCCCUGCUGGAUCCCAUCUGGGGUCGUGGUCCCACUGCGUACCCACUCGUAUGAGGCUGGGGCCCUAGAGCCCUUUCUGAUUCCACUUCCUUCACUUUCCUGCUCCGACUGAUAACCUAGCCCAGCCCACAUCUGAUUCUCAUCAGCUCUGAACUCCUAAAUCUCUCUCACCUACCUGCGUCUGCUGCGCCACCACCUGACACUUCCAUGCCAGAGCUGGGGGACAGUCCUUACUUGAUCCUCCGAGUCCCUCUCAUUCAUCCAAACCAGGCUCCACACCCAGCAAGGCUUUCCAAGAGCAGAUCUGACCUGUGGCUUAGUGCAGCCCUGUGGUGUCGCCCUUGGUAGAGUGCCAUGGCGUCACAGCUCACAGCAACCUUAAACCCUUGGGUUUAAGUGAUUCUCUUGCCUCAGCCUCCCAAGUAGCUGAGACUAUACGCGCCCGCCUCAAUGCCGAGUCUUGUGGUCUCUGAAUGCAGAUGUCAUUGAAGACGGUGGAGCAACCACAUCAGGGGUCAGCAGACUGCAGCCCAUGGGCCAGCUGCUUGUUCUCGUAAAUAAAGUUUUAUUGUGAUGCAGCCA